AGGGUUUGAUUAUGGCUCAGGAUGAACGCUAGCUACAGGCUUAACACAUGCAAGUCGAGGGGCAGCAUUUCAGUUUGCUUGCAAACUGGAGAUGGCGACCGGCGCACGGGUGAGUAACACGUAUCCAACCUGCCGAUAACUCGGGGAUAGCCUUUCGAAAGAAAGAUUAAUACCCGAUGGUAUAAUCAGACCGCAUGGUCUUGUUAUUAAAGAAUUUCGGUUAUCGAUGGGGAUGCGUUCCAUUAGGCAGUUGGUGAGGUAACGGCUCACCAAACCUUCGAUGGAUAGGGGUUCUGAGAGGAAGGUCCCCCACAUUGGAACUGAGACACGGUCCAA
rnacentral:rRNA from 1 species